CCUACGGGAGACAGCAGUGGGGAAUAUUGCACAAUGGGGGAAACCCUGAUGCAGCAACGCCGCGUGAGUGAAGAAGUAUUUCGGUAUGUAAAGCUCUAUCAGCAGGGAAGAAGAUGACGGUACCUGAGUAAGAAGCCCCGGCUAACUACGUGCCAGCAGCCGCGGUAAUACGUAGGGGGCAAGCGUUAUCCGGAUUUACUGGGUGUAAAGGGAGCGCAGACGGUGAGACAAGUCUGAAGUGAAAUCCCGGGGCUCAACCCCGGGACUGCUUUGGAAACUGCCUGACUGGAGUGCUGGAGAGGCAAGCGGAAUUCCUAGUGUAGCGGUGAAAUGCGUAGAUAUUAGGAAGAACACCAGUGGCGAAGGCGGCUUACUGGACUGUAACUGACGCUGAGGCUCGAAAGCGUGGGGAGCGAACAGGAUUAGAUACCCUUGUAGUC
rnacentral:rRNA from 1 species